AUGGUUCUCUCGCUCUUCCUUUUCUGGACUCUUUUUUACCUUAUUUUCCAUCGACUUCUCUAUUUCUAUCUCGCAACCGCUACAACAUCGAUUCACCCUCCAUUUCUCCCGCUUAGCAAAAGAAAAUCAAGGGCGUUCACCAGCGUGGGUUCCGUCGGAUUCCAUAGACAAGGACUUGGUGACCUGGAAAUCAUGGUUCUUCGGAUUUGGGGCUUUAGUUUGCAGCCUUCAAAUCUCUGUCUAUUUAAGGGGGUAGGAAGAAUUGGAGAAAAUGAUGAGGGAGAAGAUCAAGAUCAGGAAGAUUGACUACUUGCCAGCAAGGCAGGUGACCUUCUCAAAGAGGAGAAGAUGGGAUUUGAAGAAAGCUGGAGAGCUGUCGAUUCUGUGUGAAUCUGAAGCUGUUGUUAUCAUCUUUUCCCAAACUGGCAAGCUCUUUGAUUUCUCAAGCUCCAGGUAUGGAUUUUAUGGGAGGCGUCUAGAAAGUUCAACUUUGAUCUUCAUGUUUAAGAGUCGAAAGCAUAGGAUGCUAAGUAUCGACUUGAAACAGUUGCCUUGCAGGCUCAAAAGGUCGUAUACUUUAUGCUGAUAUGCUUCCUACAAUCUUCGGUCUAGACUAUGAGUAUGGUGUCAUUUUGCAAUUGGCUUCUUUGUCUUUGAUUGCAGAUGAACGACAUUGUUACUGAACAAUGGAUUCAAAUUCAGCGACUUGAGCAGGCUUUUCAUAUUACUCAAGUAAGCAUUUGUACUUGAGACUGGCAUUUAUUCAUGUGUAACGUCAGAGAAGCAUUUGGAAACUCUUCCAUCCAAAUUUUUGAGACAUUCCCAUACCUAGAGGAGUUGCACAUCGACUAUUGUAACGAUUUGGAGAAAUUGCCUACCAAGCUAUGUGAUCUUAUCCGCCUAAAAGUUCUCAGCAUCACCAACUGUCAUAAGCUAUCUGUCUUGCCUGAAGACAUCGGAAAGCUGGAGAAUUUGGAAGUGUUGAGGCUAAGGUCCUGCGCAGACUUGAAAAAGCUUCCAGGCUCGAUUGAGAAACUCAAUAAGUUGUGCUUUCUUACAUAUAUAAUUGUUCCCGCAUUAAGGAUUUGCCCGAAAGCAUUGGUAAUAUGAAUGGUUUAAGAAAAAUCAACAUGGCACAAUGUUCAAGAUUGAAUGAGCUGCCUGUGUCAGUGUAUGAUCUUGAUCAGCAAUUAGAGAAAGUGACAUGUGACGAAGGCGCAAGAAAUUUGUGGGAAUCUGUCUUAUCAAAUCUCGACAAAAUAACGGUGGCUAAAGAAGAAUUCAACCUGAAUUGGCUCCACAGACCUCAGAAUUGAGAGCUCUCUUUCCACAAUAAGUAUUGGAGCAAAUGUCCUGUGUGUGAUUUGUAUGGUUUAUUCUUCCCUGUUUCUCAUUUGGUGUUUGUAUGAGAUAUUGCAUCAUUCCACUGUCUUGGAUUUCCCUAAGUUUCUUCUCCAUAUACUGUUGAAAUGGUACUAGGCCAUGAUCUUUUUGUUUAAUUUCUUGAAGGUUUUAGCUUUCAAGAAUUGGGGAUUUGAAGAAUAAGAAAUGCAGAGAGGCAGAAGUGAGAGAGUAAUUUUUUUUCA